UACGUAGGGUGCGAGCGUUAAUCGGAAUUACUGGGCGUAAAGUGUGCGCAGGCGGCCGCGCAAGUCGAGUGUGAAAGCCCCGGGCUUAACUUGGGAAUUGCGCUCGAAACUACGUGGCUGGAGUGUGGCAGAGGAAGGUGGAAUUCCACGUGUAGCGGUGAAAUGCGUAGAUAUCUGGAGGAACACCGGUGGCGAAGGCGGCAUCCUGGACCGGUAUUGACGCUGAGGCGCGAAAGCCAGGGGAGCAAACGGG
rnacentral:rRNA from 1 species